ensembl:lncRNA
UGUAUGUAUGCAUGUAUGUAAUCACUGUGUAUCAUACUCAAAUUUAAUACUCUGUGUGUUCAGGUUUCCCUGUUCCUCCUGGAGUGCCCUCUCCUCCUCCCAUGAUAACUUCACUAGACAGUGCUCGUUCAAGAGGAAGCCAUUCCGCCCCAUUGUACCGCUUUUCUGCAGGUGUGUACCCACCACUGAUGAGUGCUAUGGCCUCCUGGCCUAAUAUGUUGGACAGUGCCAAAGCGUGGGAAUACUACACUCGUCACGACAAAAAGAGGGAGAGAGAGAAAGAGAGGGAGAGACCCCGAGACAGAGACAGAGAUAGAGACAGGGAGAGGGAUCGACAGCGUGAACAAGAACACACACCUUCAAUGCAAAGCCGCAGCAGUGAUGAAGAGAGUGUGCGGCACAGGGAUCAUAGUGAUCGGGAGAGAGAGAGGCAUCGGGAACGUGCUGGUGGAACAGGAGAGAGAGAGGACAGAUACAGAGAGAGGAGACACAGGGAGCGCAGCGAACGGCAUAAAUCCUCACGCAGCAGCUACAGUAGGAGGAGGCACGCUAGUGACGAUGGAGAGAGCCACAGGAGACACAGACACAAACGCUCCAGACGCAACCGAGACAGCACAGAGCCCAGCGAAGAGCGCAGCGCUGAACACGAAAACCAAUCAGAGCCCACUGAAUAA